UACGGAGGGUGCUAGCGUUGUUCGGAAUCACUGGGCGUAAAGGGUGCGUAGGCGGUCUCGCAAGUCUGGCGUGAAAGCCCAAGGCUCAGCCUUGGAAGUGCGCUCGAAACGGCGAGGCUGGAGUGCCGGAGGGGAGAGUGGAAUUCCUGGUGUAGCGGUGAAAUGCGCAGAUAUCAGGAGGAACACCGAUGGCGAAGGCAGGUCUCUGGGCCAUAACUGACGCUGAGAAGCGAAAGCAUGGGGAGCGAACAGG
rnacentral:rRNA from 1 species